GACGAACGCUGGCGGCGUGCCUAAUACAUGCAAGUAGAACGCACAGUUUAUACCGUAGCUUGCUACACCAUGGACUGUGAGUUGCGAACGGGUGAGUAACGCGUAGGUAACCUGCCUGGUAGCGGGGGAUAACUAUUGGAAACGAUAGCUAAUACCGCAUAAUAUUAAUUAUUGCAUGAUAAUUAAUUGAAAGGUGCAAUUGCACCACUACCAGAUGGACCUGCGUUGUAUUAGCUAGUAGGUGAGGUAACGGCUCACCUAGGCGACGAUACAUAGCCGACCUGAGAGGGUGAUCGGCCACACUGGGACUGAGACACGGCCCAGACUCCUACGGGAGGCAGCAGUAGGGAAUCUUCGGCAAUGGACGAAAGUCUGACCGAGCAACGCCGCGUGAGUGAAGAAGGUUUUCGGAUCGUAAAGCUCUGUUGUAAGAGAAGAACGGGUGUGAGAGUGGAAAGUUCACACUGUGACGGUAUCUUACCAGAAAGGGACGGCUAACUACGUG
rnacentral:rRNA from 1 species